rnacentral:lncRNA from 1 species
GAAAAGAGACAUCUGUUGUACCCAUUAAGGACUUAUAAAAGUCAGUGACCUCCUUUUUAAUAGCAUCUGGAUUGGUAAUCUUGGACCCCCCUGCUGUAACCAGUUCAGUAAUACUCUUGUGUUGAUUCCUUUCCUUCAAGACAGCAAAGAAAUAUUUGUUGUUUGAAUCCCCCAGUUGGAUCCAUUUUGCCAUGGACUUCUGUUGUAGUAUUC